CUACGGGCCGCUGCAGUGAGGAAUAUUGCACAAUGGGGGGAACCCUAAUGCAGCUACGCCGCGUGGAGGAUGACGCAUUUCGGUGUGUAAACUCCUUUUAUAUGUCAAGAAAAUGACGGUAGCAUAUGAAUAAGCACCGGCUAACUCCGUGCCAGCAGCCGCGGUAAUACGGAGGGUGCAAGCGUUACUCGGAAUCACUGGGCGUAAAGGACGCGUAGGCGGGUUGGAAAGUCAGGUGUGAAAUCCUACAGCUUAACUGUAGAACUGCACUUGAUACUUCUAAUCUAGAGUAUGGGAGGGGGAGAUGGAAUUAGUGGUGUAGGGGUAAAAUCCGUAGAUAUCACUAGGAAUACCUAAAGCGAAGGCGAUCUCCUGGAACAUUACUGACGCUAAGGCGUGAAAGCGUGGGGAGCAAACAGGAUUAGAUACCCCGGUAGUC
rnacentral:rRNA from 1 species